AGUAAAAUAGUUUUAAAUUAAAACGUAGCACUGAAAAUGCUAAAAUGGCUGAAGCCUUUACCCA
rnacentral:tRNA from 1 species